rnacentral:rRNA from 1 species
AGAGUUUGAUCCUGGCUCAGGAUGAACGCUGGCGGCGUGCCUAAUACAUGCAAGUCGAACGGAGUAGCAAUACUUAGUGGCGACCGGGUGCGUAACACGUAGCUGACCUGCCCCUCAGCGGGGGACAACUACUCGAAAGGGUAGCUAAUACCGCAUGAUGUUGCCUCGACUAAAUAGAGGUAACUAAACUUCCGGGGCUG